GCUAGUAGGGGGCUGCAUGGCACGCGCCCCUUUGCGUCCAGAGAAUACCAUAGUGCGGGGGAGCGCCAACCAGUGCCAGGACACUUACCGAGCUGAAGAGUUGACAGGCAGGCCCAGUAUAAUCACAAGGAUUCAUAAAACGGAAGAGGGAGACAGAAGAGAUGGUCAGAGUGAUAUGAAGUAAAAAGGAUUCAGCUUACUCUUGCUGGAUUUGUAAAUGCAGGAAGGGACCACGAGUCAAGGAAUGCAGGUAGCUUCUAGAAGCUAGAAAAGGUUCUGAAGAGGGUCACUCCCUCACUGGCUGCCAUUGAAAGAGUCCACUUCUCAGUGACUCCUAGCUGGGCACUGGAUGCAGUUGAGGAUUGCUGGUCAAUAUGAUUCUUCUUGCUGUGCUUUUUCUCUGCUUCAUUUCCUCAUAUUCAGCUUCUGUUAAAGGUCACACAACUGGUCUCUCAUUAAAUAAUGACCGGCUGUACAAGCUCACGUACUCCACUGAAGUUCUUCUUGAUCGGGGCAAAGGAAAACUGCAAGACAGCG
rnacentral:lncRNA from 1 species